rnacentral:rRNA from 1 species
AUUGAACGCUGGCGGCAGGCCUAACACAUGCAAGUCGAACGAGUGGCGGACGGGUGAGUAAUGUCUGGGAAACUGCCUGAUGGAGGGGGAUAACUACUGGAAACGGUAGCUAAUACCGCAUACCAUCAGAUGUGCCCAGAUGGGAUUAGCUUGUUGGUGGGGUAACGUCUACCCAAGGCGACGAUCCCGAGCUGGGCUGAGAGGAUGACCAGCCAACCUGGAACUGAGACACGGUCCAGACGCCGACGGCAGGCAGCAGUGGGGAAUAUUGCACAAUGGGCGCAAGCCGUAUGCAGCCAUGCCGCGUGUAUGAAGAAGGCCGUCGGGUGGUAAAGUACUUUCAGCGGGGAGGCGUUACCCGCAGAAGAAGCACCGGCUAACUCCGUGCCAGCAGCCGCGGUAAUAC